UUUUAAUUGGAAACUCGUAUGAAGGGUUGGACAAAGGAUAAUCUGUUUUUAUUUUUAUUUUUGAAUUUAUCUUUUAAGUGAAAAGACUUGAAUAUAUUUAAGGGACGAUAAGACCCUAUAAAUCUUUAUAUUUAAUUUAAUGUUUAUAUUGAUUUUUAAUGUAAAUAUAAAAUAAAGAUUAAUAAUGUUAUGUUGGGGUGACAAGAAUAAAAAAUAAACUAUUCUAAAAAUAAACAAAGUUAUUUGAUUAAUAGUAGAUCCUUUUUAAAGAUAUAAGUUUAAGUUACUUUAGGGAUAACAGCGUUAUUUCUUUUGAGAGUUCAAAUCGAAAAAGAAGUUUGCGACCUCGAUGUUGAAUUAAAAUUUCUUUAUAGUGCAGCAGUUAUAUAAGAAAGUCUGUUCGACUUUUAAAAUUUUACGUGAUCU
rnacentral:rRNA from 1 species